GAUCCCUGACCCACUUUAGCCAGGGAUCGAACUUGUCUCCUCCUGGAUACUAGUCAGAUUCGUUUCCACUGCACCACAACGGGAACUCCCAAAUGUGGUUUUAAAUUGAGGCUUUUGAAUGGGGUAUAUAUAUAUCCCAUAUAUAUAUAUGUCUUUUGUCUUUUCAGGGCUGCACUGGUGUCAUAUGGAGGUUCCCAGGCUAGGGGUCGAAUUGGAGCUGUAGCUGCCAGCCUACACCAGAGCCACAGCAAUGCAGGAUCCGAGUCAUGUCUGUGACCUACACCACAGCUCAUGGCAAUGCCAGAUUCUUAACUGACUGGACAAGGCCAGGGAUCAAACCUGCAACUUCAUGGUUCCUAGUUGGAUUUGUUUCCACUGCACCACGACGGAACUCCUGAAUGCGCAAUAUUGACAUGGAUCAACUUUUUUUUUUGGAAUGGCCACACCUGAAGCAUAUGGAAAUUCCUAGGCUAGGGGUACAAGCAGAGCUGCAGCUGCUGGCCUGCGCCACAGCCACAGCAAUGAAGGACCCGAGCCUUGUCUGCAACCUGCACUGCAGCAGCUCAUGGCAACAGCUGAUCCUUUAACCCACUGAGGGAGGCCAGGGAUCAAACCCUCACGGAUAAGAGUUGGGUUCUUAACCCACUGAGCCAUGAUGACAAUUCCUGGAUCAACAUUUUUAAACCUAAAAUUGUAACCUUGGUUGAGUGUUUCAGUCACAGAUAAGGAUGAUAGAGCUCAGAACAUUUCUUACCCUUUUGACAAAGACAGAGCUGUAGGCUGUAGCACAGCAGUCAGAAAGAAUAUCCUAAAAGAUUCUAGAAAGCCCUGCAGUUGAAGGACCUGGCAGUCAGGACAAGGGGCUCAGAGCAGGGCAAACAGUGGACUUGCAGCAGCAGAAUGACACUCCUUGAGGCUGCUCCAUAGGAAGUUUAGAAGGGCAGGCUUCCUGGGAGAAGGGAAUUGAGUGUGGGGUGCUGUCCAGGGCAUAUCAGGGGUGGGGUUUGGGGGAGGGAGCGAGUAGAGGGAACUGGAGGCAGGGUGGGGAGGCAGGGAGGAGGUGGUGGAGCUGGAAGUGGCAGAGCACUGGCCCAUCCGCAGGGAUUCUCUCUCUCAAAGGAGGAAACUUUUCUCAAGACUGUCAAAAGGCCACAUUUUCCCUUCUCUUUCACCCUAGUGACUAUGUCCAGAAAAUAUUUUGCAAAGGAGGGAAAUAAGAAAGCCAAGGAAAAAAGAAGGCUGAAAAUCCAUCUAGAGAAGGUGGACAGACUGGGAAGCCCAAGCCUCUACAAAGCGAGGCAUAGACAUCCACAGCAGCCCCCUCGCUAAAACGAGGGGAAUACCAGCUAAAAAAGCCUCCCAACUUGAAGGAAGAUCCCACUUGCUACCAAAAAAGAUUGCUCCGUGUCUGGGGUAUAUAUGAAGAAUAUGGCCCUGUCCCCCCACCACCCAGGAUGAACAGCAAGUACACAUAGGGGAUUGCUGAGGUUAUGUGUGAACUUGAGCUUGGUUUAUUUUCUUUUUUCUUUUUCUUUUGGUCGUUUCUAGGGCUGCACCCGCGGCAUAUGGAGGUUCCCAGGCUAGGGGUCUCAUCGGAGCUAUAGCCGCUGGCCUAUGCAACAGCCACAGCAACUCAGGAUCCGAGCCCAGCCUGUGACCUACACCACAGCUCACGGCAACUCAGGAUCCUUAACCCACUGAGCAAGGCCAGGGAUCAAACCCGAAACCUCAUGAUUCCUAGUCGGAGUCGUUAACCACUGAGCCACAAAGGGAAAUGCCAACUUGGUUUAUUUUCUAUUGUCAAUUGUCUUGAGGGGUUCUUUCUGACAUUUUGCUAUGAACUUCUAACUUGCUUCUAAAUUGCUGAAUGCCACACUUUCCUUACUGUUCUGGCUUUCUCCGAAAUGCACAGGAAAUGUCUGUAGGUUUAGCAAGCUUCUCUCUACCCCGCUUCUCCACACUCUUAUUCCAAAAGUGUACAUUCAGCAUUUGAGAGCUUUUAAUCAUCUUCCCCAUUAGUUCACUUAAACACACUUGUGCUCACACUUUUUAUGAAGUUAAAACAGUUCUAUUUUCAGUUAGCUGACUUAGAAGGACCAUAUCUAUCCAUGACCUUUGUCAGAGAUCCCUAAAAAGCUUCAUUUUCCUCUUCUUCCAAACUUUGAUAAUGUCAUUUUUCUAAAUGCAGGCCAAGUCUGUGAAUCAAGUUUUGUUUUUGUUUUUUGUUUUUUUUAAUCUAAACAUUUUUUCAACUAUAGCAGAGUGAGAAUUGUGGGUAGGGGAAGCAACAUCAGAAACUGAAGGACUGGAAACUAGAAUUGGGACAUUAUUUGAAAUAAUAAGAAUAAAAAUUCUUUCAUUUCUUUAACAUUGUUCUACAAAUACUGUUUUGAGCAUCUACCAUUGUUCUAGGCCCGGAUGAUACAGCAGUGAACAAAACACAAAAUCCAGCAUUCUCUUGUAGUGCAGCAGGCUAAGGAUCCAGCAUUUUACUGCAGUGGCACCUGUCAUUACUGUGGUGGAGGUUCAAUCCUUGGCCUGAGAAUGUCCACAAGCUGUGGGCGUGGCCAAAAAAAGGGGGAAGAAAAUGUACUUGCAGAAUAAAAAAAGAAAAGAAAGGAAGGAAGGAAAUAAACCCUUUCAGAUGUUUAUAUUGCAAGAAAAAAAACCCAAUUUGGCAGCUACCCUCCUACCACAUCUCCAGAUACAGAGUGGGCUUGGGAGUCCUAGGUCUUCAGGAUUUUUUUCUCCCAAGUGACCAAUGACACUAGCUAGGGUUUGGUCGGUGUGAUGAAGAAAGAAUCUUUCUGGGAGUUCCCGUCAUGGCUCAGUGGUUAAGGAAUCCCACUAGGAACCAUGAGGUGGUGGGUUCGAUUCAGGGCCUUGCUCCUUGGGUUAAGGAUCCGGAGUUGCCCUGAGCUGUGGUGUAGGUUGCAGAUGCUGCUUGGAUCUGACAUUGCUGUGGCUCUGGAGUAGGUUGGCGGCUGCAGUUCCGAUUAGACCCCUAGCCUGGGAACCUCCAUAUGUCCCUGGUGCGGCCCUAGAAAAGACAGAAAGACAAAAAAAAAAAAAAAAAAAACCUUUCUGAGUCUGCUUAGGAUGUCUGCCCCCUCCCAUUUCCCACAUGUUUUGCAGUGCGUUAGAAAUACAGAUUCCUGGGUCCUACUCCUUCAGUAAGUAUGGAAUGGGGCUCAGGGAUUAUAUACUUUCAGCAAGAAAAUGAAGGGAUUCUUAACAACUGGGAAGAUAGGAAACCACUUCACUCUAACUUCCCCCAUCUCCCGCACUCCUUUUGGGGUUUGCGGUGGAACUGUAAAGCGUUGCAGGGUGCAUAAAAUACCGGCAGGUGGCGCCACCUGACCGUGACCUGCAGAGCGCGCGUCUCUUAGGGAUAAGCCAAAGGCUCCAGCAGAGUGGGCCUGAGCGUGCUGGCUUACCCCCGGGCGGAGCGGCGAGCGCAAGUAAAGAAGGGGAGCACGGCCGAUAGCUCGGAUGCACUUUAGGUUAAUGUGCACCUUAAGCCGUCCCUAGUAGGCUUUUCGGGCUUUGCGGGCAGAAAGGCGCAGUCCUCUUUGCACCUGCACGGAGCACAUGGGAGCCGUCAGCCUGGUGUAGCGCUAAUCCGGCAACUGGCGCCGCGGGACUGCAGUGCAAGUAGAACCAAACCCCGGGGCCAGAAUCUAUUACUGAGG
rnacentral:lncRNA from 1 species